CUUCAGUUGAGCGGAUAAUGGAUUCACUUCGUUUUUUCAUAUACUCUUUGUUCCUACAGCCGCAACUACUUCUACCGAGUACAAGAUCCAUUCCCUUUCGAAGUCUUUCACUGGUAAAAAGGCACAAUUGGGAACAAUUGAUGGGAACUUCUUUUUGAUAUAGCCAAAAAACAUGCGAUGUGCGACUGCAAACUACAUCCUUCUUUUGUGUAUAUGUACUUGUAAAGGAAAACGCAUUUAUAUUUUGGGGCUUCUACACUUUAUAGAAUGAUAUGUUUGUCAACUUUUGUGGUUAUAUUACAGGUGGAGUUAUUUGUAGUUCUCGACUUAAAAAAAAAGUCUGCCAACUUUUGUAUUUAUUAUAUUAUGGCAGAUUUUUACCUAUAGCUAGGAAAAUAAUUUUAGUUUUCCUAAUCUAAGCUUAAGUUUGCAUUCUAUUUCUAUCUGUAUGUUCAAAGAUGGUUACUUUUGUUUUUUGUUGAA